UACGUAGGGGGCAAGCGUUGUCCGGAUUUAUUGGGCGUAAAGAGCGUGUAGGCGGUCAGGUAGGUCCGUUGUGAAAACUCGAGGCUCAACCUCGAGACGCCGAUGGAAACCAUCUGACUAGAGUCCGGAAGAGGAGAGUGGAAUUCCUGGUGUAGCGGUGAAAUGCGCAGAUAUCAGGAAGAACACCCGUGGCUAAGGCGGCUCUCUAGUACGGUACUGACGCUGAGACGCGAAGGCGUGGGGAGCGAACGGG
rnacentral:rRNA from 1 species